UGAAAAGGGACACAGACUUCCAAGAUUAGAGAGCUGCUGAUGGAGAAUCGUUUCCUAUUGUUGUUGUUGAUUGCUGUGCAGCAGAGGACAAAGCCGGCUCCCAGGCGCCUUUGCUCCACCUGCCGUCGACCACUCUCUUCGGCCUCCCGC